UNUGACUUGAGUGCAGAAGGGGAGAGUGGAAUUCCAUGNGUAGCGGUGAAAUGCGUAGAUAUAUGGAGGAACACCAGUGGCGAAAGCGGCUCUCUGGUCUGUCACUGACGCUGAGGCUCGAAAGCGUGGGUAGCGAACAGGAUUAGAUACCNUGGUAGUCCACGCCGUAAACGAUGAGUGCUAGGUGUUAGGCCCUUUCCGGGGCUUAGUGCCGGAGCUAACGCAAUAAGCACUCCGCCUGGGGAGUACGACCGCAAGGUUGAAACUCAAAGGAAUUGACGGGGGCCCGCACAAGCGGUGGAGCAUGUGGUUUAAUUCGAAGCAACGCGAAGAACCUUACCAGGUCUUGACAUCCCGAUGCUAUUCUUAGAGAUAGGAAGUUACUUCGGUACAUCGGAGACAGGUGGUGCAUGGUUGUCGUCAGCUCGUGUCGUGAGAUGUUGGGUUAAGUCCCGCAACGAGCGCAACCCUUAUUGUUAGUUGCCAUCAUUAAGUUGGGCACUCUAGCGAGACUGCCGGUAAUAAACCGGAGGAAGGUGGGGAUGACGUCAAAUCAUCAUGCCCCUUAUGACCUGGGCUACACACGUGCUACAAUGGUCGGUACAACGAGUUGCGAGCCGGUGACGGCAAGCUAAUCUCUGAAAGCCGAUCUCAGUUCGGAUUGGAGGCUGCAACUCGCCUCCAUGAAGUCGGAAUCGCUAGUAAUCGCGGAUCAGCACGCCGCGGUGAAUACGUUCCCGGGCCUUGUACACACCGCCCGUCACACCACGAGAGUUUGUAACACCCGAAGUCGGUGAGGUANC
rnacentral:rRNA from 1 species